ACAUGGCUCAGGAUGAACGCUAGCGGCAGGCUUAACACAUGCAAGUCGAGGGGCAGCGAAUCUAGCUUGCUAGAUGUCGGCGACCGGCGAACGGGUGCGUAACGCGUAUAGAAUCUGCCUUGUACAGGAGGAUAGCCUUUAGAAAUGAAGAUUAAUACUCCAUAAUGUUUAGAGGUGGCAUCAUUUUUAAAUUAAAGAUUUAUUGGUACAAGAUGACUAUGCGUCCUAUUAGCUAGAUGGUAAGGUAACGGCUUACCAUGGCAACGAUAGGUAGGGGGUCUGAGAGGAUUAUCCCCCACACUGGUACUGAGACACGGACCAGACUCCUACGGGAGGCAGCAGUGAGGAAUAUUGGUCAAUGGAGGCAACUCUGAACCAGCCAUGCCGCGUGCAGGAAGACUGCCCUAUGGGUUGUAAACUGCUUUUAUACAGGAAGAAACAGAACUACGUGUAGUUCCUGCGGUCCUGU
rnacentral:rRNA from 1 species